rnacentral:tRNA from 1 species
GCAGUGGUGGUUCAGUGGUAGAAUUCUCGCUUUCUGUGCAGAAGACCAGGGUUCGAUUCCCAGUCAAUGCA